rnacentral:rRNA from 1 species
UACGUAGGGUGCGAGCGUUAAUCGGAAUUACUGGGCGUAAAGCGUGCGCAGGCGGUGCUGUAAGACCGAUGUGAAAUCCCCGGGCUUAACCUGGGAACUGCGUCCGAUACUGGUUGGCUUGAAUCCGGGAGAGGGACGUGGAAUUCCAGGUGUAGCGGUGAAAUGCGUAGAUAUCUGGAGGAACACCGGUGGCGAAGGCGACGUCCUGGACCGGCAUUGACGCUGAGGCGCGAAAGCCAGGGGAGCAAACGGG